UACGAAGGGGGCUAGCGUUGCUCGGAAUCACUGGGCGUAAAGGGUGCGUAGGCGGGUCUUUAAGUCAGGGGUGAAAUCCUGGAGCUCAACUCCAGAACUGCCCUUGAUACUGAAGAUCUUGAGUUCGGGAGAGGUGAGUGGAACUGCGAGUGUAGAGGUGAAAUUCGUAGAUAUUCGCAAGAACACCAGUGGCGAAGGCGGCUCACUGGCCCGAUACUGACGCUGAGGCACGAAAGCGUGGGGAGCGAACAGG
rnacentral:rRNA from 1 species